GAUGAACGCUGGCGGCGUGCCUAAUACAUGCAAGUCGAGCGAACAGACGAGGAGCUUGCUCCUCUGACGUUAGCGGCGGACGGGUGAGUAACACGUGGAUAACCCACCUAUAAGACUGGGAUAACUUCGGGAAACCGGAGCUAAUACCGGAUAAUAUAUUGAACCGCAUGGUUCAAUAGUGAAAGACGGUUUUGCUGUCACUUAUAGAUGGAUCCGCGCCGCAUUAGCUAGUUGGUAAGGUAACGGCUUACCAAGGCAACGAUGCGUUGCCGACCUGAGAGGGUGUACGGCGCCACUGGAGGUGAGACACGGUCUAGGCACCGACAGGAGGCAGAGAUAGCGAAGGUACGGAAAAGGGGGGAAGCCUGACGGAUCGGUGCAAGGCGGAUGAAGAAGGGCUGCGUGUCGGAAGACGCUGUUAUGAGUGAAGAACAAAUGUGUAAGUAACGAAGCACGGCUUGACGGUACCUGAUAAAAAAGCACCGGCUAACUACGUG
rnacentral:rRNA from 1 species